rnacentral:lncRNA from 1 species
CUCGAACACGCCUGCCCUCCCUGUGUCCUUGUGUGGCAGAGUGUCUCUUCUGAUGUGGACACGAAUCCCAUCUUGGGGGUCCCCCCACGUGGCCCCUCAACCCUCAUUUCCUCCCAUAGGCUCCACCUCCAGAGCCAUCACAUGAUGGGUUAGGGCCUCACCCUGCACGUCUGGGAGGGUCCGAGACGGACCACAGCACGCUCUGCCCUCGAGGAAAAUUUAACCCUCUGGUUUUAUAAAAACCAAAAAAAAAAGCCCAAAUGAAAAAAGCUGGUAAUUUAUUUCAAAUAUUCUGACAAAAAGUGAGGAAAGGGGCAGAGAUCCCACUGUGGUGCAGCCAGUUAAAGAUCUGGUGUCGGAGUUCCCAUCGUGGCGCAGUGGAAACGAGUCUGACUAGGAACUAUGAGGUUGCAGGUUCGAUCCCAGGUCUCGCUCAGUGGGUUUAGGAUCUGGUGUUGCAGCUGUGGUGUAGGUGGCAGGCGCGGCUCAGAUUCAACCCCCAGCCUGGGAACUUCCAUAUGCCAUGGGGGGGUGGGGGGCUGAGAAAAGAAACAAAAAAAGAAAGUGAGAGAAACACAGUCCUGUGCUUGCCUAUGCUGUGUCCCCGAGCCCUUUGUCCCGGGUCGGUUCGCAGGGGAACCAAAUCCUCUGAUAGGAUUUCUCAGGAAAGACCUGCCACCGUCAGCUUCCCCUCCCUGCACGCCUCCUCCCUCACCUACCUCUGCUGCCAGCCUCCCUGGACGUGGUCAGGGCUCAAGGGCAUUCGUGGCACCAGUCACCGCGUGUUUGCGGCCACGCGGUAGGUUCUCAUGUUCACGUCAUGUCUGAAAUCAUACAACAGGUUCAGGGGCAAGUCCCUGGUCCUGUGACGGCCACGUGUCCAUGAGGCCUCCCCAUCAGCCGCCUGGCGGGUCCUGCCCGGGAGCCCAGCCCACCGCACCCGCCCGGGAGCUCGGCAGCUCGGGACUCAGUGUGAGCCCGCAGACAGGUCUCAGUUCCCCAGCCUGAGUGUGCCCCCCACCACUCCGAGCCACCGGGAGGGCACUGGAGGGGAGCGAGGCUGUGUCUUGGGUGUUUGUGGCCAAACACCUUCCUUUCGCAUCUCUGACCCCACCUGACCCCAUGAGGCCCCGGCUGCCCCCCCGGGGGGGUGGCUGAGGCCUGUCCCCUUGGCGACAGGGUACAGCCGCCUCUGGGGCUGGAGAGCGUCCAGCGUGCGUCGUGCCUUAAUGGUGACCAAAUGCGUCUUCACGCUGAAAGCCAGCGCCCCUGUCGUCAAGCUGAUCCAAGCAUGAUGCGUACAUGGGGGCGGGGGUGGGCCGCAGCAGGCGAGGCUGCCCCACAUUAAAAAAAAAGGACUAUGAAUUUAUGGUUUCCAAUGAACUUUGGGCAAAAACCAACACCUGGAGUUCCCGUCGUGGCUCAGUGGAAACAAAUCUGACUAGUCACCAUGAGGACACAGGUUCGAUCCCUGCCCUCACUCAGCGGGUUAAGGAUCCGUUGCUGCUGUGAGCUGUGGUUGUAGGUCAGUGAAGCGGCUCGGAUCUGACGUUGCUGUGAGCUGUGCUGUAGGUCACAGAUGAGACUCAGAUCUGGUGUGGCUGUGGCUGUGGUGCAGGCCGGCAGCUGCAGCUCCAAUUCGACCCCUAACCUGAGAACCUCCAUAUGCUGUGGGUGCAGCCC